UGGGAAUUCUAGAAGGCUUACAGUCUCUUGAUAAAAACAAAAUACAUCUUAGCUCAUCAAACAGACUUUUCUCUAAAACCUGGGAUGGGAGUCAAAGGACCCACAUAGGGUAUGUUCUGGAGUGCUCUCUCUCUUUCUCCAUCUGUAGCUGAAUGCAGAAAAGAAAUGUCAUAGAAGAUGCAGAGCCACAUGAGCAAAGGAGCCUGGGUCCCUGAAUAAUUGGACAGUCUCCACCAUGACCCACAUUGGCUGUAACGGGAGUGAAAAUUAAAACUUCAUUGACUUCACCACUGA
rnacentral:lncRNA from 1 species